UACGAAGGGGGCGAGCGUUGUUCGGAUUUACUGGGCGCAAAGGGCGCGUAGGCGGCCCUCUUUGUCGCGUGUGAAAGCCCCGGGCUCAACCUGGGAAUUGCGCGCGAAACGGGGGGGCUUGAGUUCGGGAGAGGAGCGUGGAAUUCCCAGUGUAGAGGUGAAAUUCGUAGAUAUUGGGAAGAACACCGGUGGCGAAGGCGGCGCUCUGGACCGAGACUGACGCUGAGGCGCGAAAGCGUGGGGAGCAAACAGG
rnacentral:rRNA from 1 species